rnacentral:rRNA from 1 species
GACGAACGCUGGCGGCGUGCUUAACACAUGCAAGUCGAACGGGCCUUGUCCCCUUUUUUUUUGGGGGUGGGGUUAGUGGCGAACGGGUGAGUAACACGUGAGUAACCUGCCCCUCACUUCUGGAUAACCGCUUGAAAGGGUGGCUAAUACGGGGUGUUCUGGCCUGCUCGCAUGGGUGGGUUUGGAAAUAUUCGACCGGUUUUGGUUGUUUUGGUGGGGGAUGGGCUCGCGGCCUAUCAGCUUGUUGGUGGGGUGAUGGCCUGCCGAGGCUUUGACGGGUAGCCGGCCUGAGAGGGUGGGCGGUCACACUGGGACUGAGACACGGCCCAGACUCCUACGGGAGGCAGCAGUGGGGAAUAGUGCACUAUGGGCGCAAGCCUGAUGCAGCGACGCCGCGUGAGGGAUGGAGGCCUUCGGGUUGUGAACCUCUUUCGCCAGUGAAGAAGGUCCUGCUCUUUGUGGUGGGGUUGACGGUAGCUGGGUUAAUGAAGCGCCGGCUAACUACGUG